UCCAUUUGUUUUUUUUCUUCUUUUACUGAAAAAUAGAGAUAGAGAAGAUAGAAAUGGUGUCAAAUCAAAGGAAAAAAUGGCCCAGCUAUCAGCUCCCAACCUCUGAAGCACAAUAACCCUAAAUUAGAAAUAUGUUGUUUCUGGUGCUUCCUUCGUCGAUUCUACUUUAAAAAUAGCUGAAAAAUUCGCUGAAGGAAAAUAUGAUGAUAUUGGACAUAAUUAUGUACAAAACAUGAUGGAUCCUAAGAAGCAAAGGAGAAUCAUAUUAAAACGAGUUUCUUCUCGAAGAUCAAGGCUCAAGAAGAAAAUCUUUUGGCCAAUUUGGGAGUUCAAGUCACAAAUAUUUAGGUGUCUGUCUUUCUAGUUCGUGUAAUAUUAAUAGUAGUGUUGCGCAGGAGACGAAGAUCGGUAAGAAAUCUUUGCUGGCAUGUUGUUUAAAAUAUUUGGUUUCAUUAAUGAUUAAGAUUUUGUUCUCAAGUAAUCAAGGAUCAGUUUCAAAAGUGUGGAUGUUCUGUAUUGGUACUUCAAUUUCCGUUUCAGAAGUCUGCACAAGUAUUAGCAACGAGAGACUUUCCACCAAAAUCACAAGCAAAUGAUGAUGGUGAAAGAGCAUGCAUUGUGUCAGAAAAUUGAAUUUCUAGAGAAAGAAAUAUUGUUUAGAGAAGCUGAAGGUGAGAAGAACACAUGAAACGAAUAGGCUGAGGGAACUCCAAGUAUAGAAAGAUGAACAAGUGAAAUCAUGGUUGCAAAUGUUAAAUUAUUAUACAAAUUCAUAUCAAGGUAACAACAAAACAUGCGAUAAUUUUAUUUUUAUGUUUGUCACACAAGAUUGAUUCAUAAUAAUAAAUUAUUACAUUGUAUGUACAUUAAACUCAUGUUGAUGGAUUAACGUGUUACAAAUAAAUAAUUGUUGGAAGAGCACAACUAUUACAUACCAAAAUUACAAGGAAAAUGUAAGUCAUUUAAAGACUUGAUGACCAAUAUAUAAAAAUAAGCUUAAAUAUAUUUUCAAUC